UCAUGCGCGAGCUAGCGUUCGAGGAGCUUGCUCCUUUGACGUUAGCGGCGGACGGGUGAGUAACACGUGGGUAACCUACCUAUAAGACUGGGAUAACUUCGGGAAACCGGAGCUAAUACCGGAUAAUAUUUCGAACCGCAUGGUUCGAUAGUGAAAGAUGGUUUUGCUAUCACUUAUAGAUGGACCCGCGCCGUAUUAGCUAGUUGGUAAGGUAACGGCUUACCAAGGCGACGAUACGUAGCCGACCUGAGAGGGUGAUCGGCCACACUGGAACUGAGACACGGUCCAGACUCCUACGGGAGGCAGCAGUAGGGAAUCUUCCGCAAUGGGCGAAAGCCUGACGGAGCAACGCCGCGUGAGUGAUGAAGGUCUUCGGAUCGUAAAACUCUGUUAUUAGGGAAGAACAUACGUGUAAGUAACUAUGCACGUCUUGACGGUACCUAAUCAGAAAGCCACGGCUAACUACGUGCCAGCAGCCGCGGUAAUACGUAGGUGGCAAGCGUUAUCCGGAAUUAUUGGGCGUAAAGCGCGCGUAGGCGGUUUUUUAAGUCUGAUGUGAAAGCCCACGGCUCAACCGUGGAGGGUCAUUGGAAACUGGAAAACUUGAGUGCAGAAGAGGAAAGUGGAAUUCCAUGUGUAGCGGUGAAAUGCGCAGAGAUAUGGAGGAACACCAGUGGCGAAGGCGACUUUCUGGUCUGUAACUGACGCUGAUGUGCGAAAGCGUGGGGAUCAAACAGGAUUAGAUACCCUGGUAGUCCACGCCGUAAACGAUGAGUGCUAAGUGUUAGGGGGUUUCCGCCCCUUAGUGCUGCAGCUAACGCAUUAAGCACUCCGCUGGGGGAGUACGACCGCCAGGUGAAACUCAAGGAAUUGACGGGGACCCGCACAAGCGUGGAGCAUGUGGUUUAAUUCGAAGCAACGCGAAGAACCUUACCAAAUCUUGACAUCCUUUGACAACUCUAGAGAUAGAGCCUUCCCCUUCGGGGGACAAAGUGACAGGUGGUG
rnacentral:rRNA from 1 species